rnacentral:rRNA from 1 species
GACGAACCGAGCGAACGUUGUUCGGAAUCACUGGGCUUAAAGGGCGCGUAGGCGGGCUGUCAAGUCUGGGGUGAAAUCCCCGGGCUCAACCCGGGAACUGCGUCCGAUACUGGCAGGCUUGAAUCCGGGAGAGGGAUGCGGAAUUCCAGGUGUAGCGGUGAAAUGCGUAGAUAUCUGGAGGAACACCGGUGGCGAAGGCGGCAUCCUGGACCGGUAUUGACGCUGAGGCGCGAAAGCCAGGGGAGCAAACGGG